rnacentral:rRNA from 1 species
GACGAACGCUGGCGGCGUGCUUAACACAUGCAAGUCGAACGGAAAGGCCCUGCUUUUGUGGGGUGCUCGAGUGGCGAACGGGUGAGUAACACGUGAGUAACCUGCCCUUGACUUUGGGAUAACUUCAGGAAACUGGGGCUAAUACCGGAUAGGAGCUCCUGCUGCAUGGUGGGGGUUGGAAAGUUUCGGCGGUUGGGGAUGGACUCGCGGCUUAUCAGCUUGUUGGUGGGGUAGUGGCUUACCAAGGCUUUGACGGGUAGCCGGCCUGAGAGGGUGACCGGCCACACUGGGACUGAGAUACGGCCCAGACUCCUACGGGAGGCAGCAGUGGGGAAUAUUGCACAAUGGGCGGAAGCCUGAUGCAGCAACGCCGCGUGCGGGAUGACGGCCUUCGGGUUGUAAACCGCUUUCGCCUGUGACGAAGCGUGAGUGACGGUACUGGGUAAAGAAGCACCGGCUAACUACGUG